AGCUUUGCACAGUGGCAGUAUCGUAGCCAAUGAGGUUUAUCCAAGGCACAAUUAUUGCUAAUUGAAAACUUUUCCCAAUACCCCACCAUGAUGACUUGAAAUAUAGUUGGCAUUGGCAAUUUUUGACAGUCUCUGAAGAGA
rnacentral:snRNA from 1 species